GGCUCUGUGGUGCAAUGGAUAGCGCAUUGGACUUCUAAUUCAAAGGUUGUGGGUUCGAGUCCCACCAGAGUUG
rnacentral:tRNA from 1 species